AACGAACGCUGGCGGCAGGCUUAACACAUGCAAGUCGAGCGCCCCGCAAGGGGAGCGGCAGACGGGUGAGUAACGCGUGGGAAUCUACCCAUCUCUACGGAAUAACGCAUGGAAACGUGUGCUAAUACCGUAUACGUCCUUCGGGAGAAAGAUUUAUCGGAGAUGGAUGAGCCCGCGUUGGAUCAGCUAGUUGGUGGGGUAAAGGCCUACCAAGGCGACAAUCCAUAGCUGGUCUGAGAGGAUGAUCAGCCACACUGGGACUGAGACACGGCCCAGACUCCUACGGGAGGCAGCAGUGGGGAAUAUUGGACAAUGGGCGCAAGCCUGAUCCAGCCAUGCCGCGUGAGUGAUGAAGGCCCUAGGGUUGUAAAGCUCUUUCACCGGUGAAGAUAAUGACGGUAACCGGAGAAGAAGCCCCGGCUAACUUCGUGCCAGCCGCCGCCGUAAAAC
rnacentral:rRNA from 1 species